UACGCCGCUGCUCGCAUACUGCUUUUCCAAAAUCAAAGCCGAUGCUCGCAUACCUACUCGUCAUAUUUCAACCGAGGUUUUCCAAAAUCAAAGACCUAACAGGGUCAUUAUAUUUCACGCCUUCACUCACUAGUUUCCCACGCAGUGAGCAACCGUUGUAAAUCUCCAAGAAAUCCGAUCAUCUUCCUUCCCAAAACUGAAACCCAAAGUCAGGUACGCUAUUUUCCUCUCCCACUUCUCUUUAUUAUGAUUUUUCUUGUAUUUCGAUCUAUUCAUUACCAUUAAAUCUCAUAUUACAACCGAGUUUUUCAAAAUCUAAGAUUAAAGCCUUUCCGCCUUCACUCCCUGUUUCCCACGAAGUGAGAGCAGCCGCUGUAAAUCUCCCUCAAAAUCAAUCAUCUUCCUUUCCAAAAGCUGAAACCCAAACUCAGUGAGAGCAACCGUUGUCAAGAACCCCUGAAGAAACUCGAUCAUCUUUCUUCCCAAAAGCUGAAACCCUAAGUUAGAUAUGAGGCAGAAUAUGGAGGAUACUAAACUGCAGAAACAAGCUACGGUACUAUUGUGAAGGUUUGGUAGCAUUUGGACGAGUAACAUAUUAAAGUUAUGUCUAGAAGUUGGAUUGCAAGGUCGAAGGAACCAUGUUUUAGGGCAUCCCCAUUAUAUUGGGAGGAAGUAAAAAAAUUCCUUGAUCAUGCAUUCAGUCAUGUUGAUCUAGGGGGAAUGAUCUUAUGCCCAUGUGUGAAGUGCAUAAAUCAAUUGUUAAAGACUCGCGAAGAAGUGUUUGAAGAUCUCAUAUUGAAUGGAUUUCUAAGGAGUUACACAAUUUGGAGUUUCCAUGGAGAAGCUUCAACUUCAAAUACAGCUCCGGAUGUACAUAAUGUGGUAUGUGAUGAAGGUGAUAGGUUUGAUAGCACACAGAACAUGUUAAAUGAGUUAUGGGGGAGAGAUGCACUUGAAGCAACUGAGAAUCGUGCCACAGGUGAGCCUGUAAUGGGGCAAAAUAUUGAGGCAGAGAAGUUCGAGAGAUUAAUGGAAGAUGCAAAACAAGAAUUAUAUCCCAGAUGUAAUAAGUUUACUAAGUUGUCCUUCCUUAUUCAGCUAUAUCAUAUAAAGUGUCUCUGCAAUUUGAGUGACAAA